rnacentral:rRNA from 1 species
GAUGAACGCUGGCGGCGUGCCUAAUACAUGCAAGUCGAGCGAACAGACGAUGCGCUUGCUCCUCUGACGUUAGCGGCGGACGGGUGAGUAACACGUGGAUAACCUACCUAUAAGACUGGGAUAACUUCGGGAAACCGGGCCAAUACCGGAUUAUUUUAUUGAUCCCCUUGGUUCAUUGUUAAAUGCCGUUUUUGUUUUACUUAUUCGUGGCUCCUCGCCGCAUUAGCUAGUUGGUAAGGUAACGGCUUAUCAAGGGAAAGAUGCGUAGCCGACCUGAGAGGGUGAUCGGCCACACGGGAACUGAGACACGGUCCAGACUCCUACGGGAGGCAGCAGUAGGGAAUCUUCCGCAAUGGGCGAAAGCCUGACGGAGCAACGCCGCGUGAGUGAUGAAGGUCUUCGGAUCGUAAAACUCUGUUAUUAGGGAAGAACAAAUGUGUAAGUAACUAUGCACGUCUUGACGGUACCUAAUCAGAAAGCCACGGCUAACUACGUG